AGAUUCUUAGUUUAAUUUUGAAUGUCUCUUUUACACAGAGGGGGUUGUAGAAUCUU
rnacentral:tRNA from 1 species